AGAAAAAACUUGGAGUAAAACAGGGCUGCUAACUUUGUUUUGGGUGAUUCGAUUUCAUCCUUCUUCUU
rnacentral:tRNA from 1 species